rnacentral:tRNA from 1 species
GGUGAGAUGGCCGAGUGGUUUAAGGCGCACCCCUGCUAAGGGUGUAUGUGGUUUUAUCUACAUCGAGGGUUCGAAUCUCUCUCUCACCG